rnacentral:rRNA from 1 species
UGCAGUCGAACGGGCACUUCGGUGUCAGUGGCAGACGGGUGAGUAACACGUGGGAACGUACCCUUCGGUUCGGAACAACUCAGGGAAACUUGAGCUAAUACCGGAUACGCCCUUUUGAGGAAAGAUUUAUUGCCGAUGGAUCGGCCCGCGUCUGAUUAGCUUGUUGGUGGGGUAAUGGCCUACCAAGGCGACGAUCAGUAGCUGGUCUGAGAGGAUGAUCAGCCACACUGGGACUGAGACACGGCCCAGACUCCUACGGGAGGCAGCAGUGGGGAAUAUUGGACAAUGGGCGCAAGCCUGAUCCAGCCAUGCCGCGUGAGUGAUGAAGGCCUUAGGGUUGUAAAGCUCUUUCGGCGGGGACGAUAAUGACGGUACCCGCAGAAGAAGCCCCGGCUAACUUCGUGCCAGCAGCCGCGGUAAU